rnacentral:rRNA from 1 species
UACGUAGGUGGCGAGCGUUGUCCGGAAUUACUGGGUGUAAAGGGAGCGCAGGCGGUGAGACAAGUCAGCUGUGAAAGCUAACGGCUUAACCGAUAGAGUGCAGUUGAAACUGUUUUUCUUGAGUGGAGCAGAGGCAGGCGGAAUUCCGAGUGUAGCGGUGAAAUGCGUAGAUAUUUGGAGGAACACCAGUGGCGAAGGCGGCCUGCUGGGCUUUAACUGACGCUGAGGCUCGAAAGUGUGGGGAGCAAACAGG